rnacentral:rRNA from 1 species
GAGUGUGAUCAUACCAAUGUUAAUGCACUGUAUCUUAUCAGAACUCUGCAGUUAAGCGUGCUUGGGCUAGAGUAGUACUGGGAUGGGUGACCUCUCGAGAAGUCCUAGUGUUGCACCCU